CUGGAAAACCCUCAGGGGCUGACUCACAGUGUUUUGGUAAAGAAUGGUUUCCUAUGGUAUAGUUUUGUAUGAUAUGAUAUCAUAUGUUACGGCUUUACAUGGUAGUGUUUGGUACUUCACAUUAUGGUUAACUGCAGGAUGGUUAUAGUGUAAAAGAGUCACCGUAUAGCAGUCUAACACAGGAGGCUUAUUUACCUGGUUAUCUGAGUAACUUUCUCCUGUUACAGCACCCUUCUGUCUGGGUACCAAACAAACUUAUCUGACCCAAAAGGACGGAACUGGACACGCUGCUUUCCACUGAUGAGAGAGAGAGGAGAUAUAAUAGAUUGUACUGGAUUAUUACCCUCCUAACCUCCCCACUUUUCUCCACCAAAACUUCACCAUAGGCUCGAAUAAAGAGCCAUGCCAAGUUCUGUCUUUCACAAUAAAAGC